GAUGAACGCUGGCGGCGUGCCUAAUACAUGCAAGUAGAACGCUGAAGGAAGGAGCUUGCUCUUUCCGGAUGAGUUGCGAACGGGUGAGUAACGCGUAGGUAACCUGCCUGGUAGCGGGGGAUAACUAUUGGAAACGAUAGCUAAUACCGCAUAACAGUAGAUGUUGCAUGAUAUCUACUUAAAAGGUGCAAUUGCACCACUACCAGAUGGACCUGCGUUGUAUUAGCUAGUUGGGGAGGUAACGGCGCACCAAGGCGGCGAAACAUAGCCGACCGGGGCGGGGGGUCGGCCACACGGGGACGGGGACACGGCCCAUGGGCCUGCGGGAGGGAGCAGUAGGGAAACGUCGGCAAUGGACGGGAAUCUUGCCGAACGAGGGCGAGUGAGUGGAGGAGGUUUUCGGAUCGUAAAGAUCGGUUGUAAGAUGAGAACGAGGGUGGGAGUGGAAAGUUCACACUGUGACGGUAUCUUAACAGAAAGGGACGGCUAACUACGUG
rnacentral:rRNA from 1 species